CUUUACGACACUGUUGGCAAUCGUAAAGCAAACUACACGCUUAUUUUCCACAGUCAACGCGUCGUAGUAAUGCGUUAAAUUACCUUUUUUCCUUUUUUUAAAAAAUCAAGCUUGACUCAAUGAGCGUUUUUGAUCUAUUUCGCGGCUUCUUUGGCGUUCCCGGUGGCCAUUUUCGUGGGCGAAGGGACCCCUUCUUUGAUUCCAUGACCCGGGAUGAAGAUGACGAUGACGAAGAUGAUUCCUUCUACUAUGAUGGCUUCCGGGGGGACGGGCAGGACCCCUUUGACAGCGCUCUGAAAUUCGGCUUCAGCUUCAGUCCCGACGGGAUGAGAAUCCAAGAACCGCCACUGUUUGGCCAGGUCCUCAGGGAGAUGGAGGAGAUCUUUUCCCAGCUGGGUCGCUGGGACUCACAUUCUGGUAAUGCUGACAUUUUAGGGAUUACAAUUGGGAAAUAUUUUGAGCUGUCAUUAUUUAUUGUAGGUAUUCCCAGCAUUGCGCCACCGCCACGGCAGGAGGGAAGUCGUGGAUCCAGCGGUAACCCCUUGAGAGACUUCAUGCUCAAAUCUCCUGAUAGUGACAGCCAGAGGAGAACUGAUAUCCAUCCUUCCUAUGAGUCCCCACAUUUCCCAGGCGUCACCCCUUUUUCUAAAUUCAAUGAUGUCUGGAGACAAAGGCUGCAGAAAAUUCCAACAGACGAGCGUAAAGAAGACAAAGACCUGGACUCUGCCGUGUCCUCUGGUGGUUUGGAUCAGAUUCUGAGGCCGCCCGCCGAUCAGUUGCCGAGUCAGCAGCCUCGAAGCAGGUCCUUCUUCCAGUCCGUGACUGUCACCAAAGUGCUGAAACCUGAUGGGACAAUGGAGGAGCGGCGCACGGUCAGAGAUGGCAAAGGCAACGAAGAGACCACCGUGACCCGCUCAGGAGGCCGUAGUGGUCAGGAGGGACCAGGACUUCAUACCGGACCUGCCCUACCAGGUUCAUCAUUUUCAGACAUGCCGGACGACGACAGCGACUUCUUCUCAAAGCUUUUCGGAGGCUUUAAAUGACUUGAUUAUAACACACGCAAUUUAUUUACGUUGUAGAGUGGUUGCAAGCCGAUGCCGCGAGAAUUUGUACUGCAAGCGGGAUCGAAUGAUCACGCUGUAGCUUAGCCACCAACCCACUUUAGACACCACGAGCGAGCUGAUGAGAGGAGCAGCAAUCGGGCACGGCUGCCAGCAGGUGAGGAAACUUUUUUCCCCCCUCAACCGUCUGAAGGAUAGUUUUUGGUGUCGCACACAAAAAACAUGGCGGAGCAGCCUAUCCACCGCACGCUUUUUCGUUUGUUCAAAACAGAUCCAAUUUGGAGUCUCUUUUUAACAUUUAUUUGAAAACUGCACAAAAGUGAGUGUAUGGCGUAUACAGCAAGCAGACCACAACCAUGGGGAAAGAAAACUUGAACGUUCCACUAUUAUCAUCCAUCUAUAUAAAUAUGAUAUGACACAUGUAUAAAAAGAUAAAAACAAGACAAUGUUUUUUUUGUUUGUUUCCCCCCCCCAAAUGUUAGAAAAGAAACGCGAGUAUUGAUAGACAUUGAUUUCUUCUUAGUGGGGUGCUUGUUUGAUAUUUAGAAUAAAAAGGAACAGUACAGUACAAACACUACAUGUAUUCACAUUAUCAUAGCAAGUUAUGUUUUCUUGUAGUGUAAUUAUGUAUUUACAUCACAAAAAUCACAUACUAGCCCCUUCCUCUUCCUUCUAAUGUCUUACUGAACACCAACAUCACAAAUGA